GUCUUGACAUCCACAGAACUUUCCAGAGAUGGAUUGGUGCCUUCGGGAACUGUGAGACAGGUGCUGCAUGGCUGUCGUCAGCUCGUGUUGUGAAAUGUUGGGUUAAGUCCCGCAACGAGCGCAACCCUUAUCCUUUGUUGCCAGCGGUCCGGCCGGGAACUCAAAGGAGACUGCCAGUGAUAAACUGGAGGAAGGUGGGGAUGACGUCAAGUCAUCAUGGCCCUUACGACCAGGGCUACACACGUG
rnacentral:rRNA from 1 species